rnacentral:rRNA from 1 species
AAUGAACGUUGGCGACGUGGAUUAGGCAUGCAAGUCGAGCGAGAAUCUGAUGAACGAUCUUUCGAGUGAGUGAUUCAGAGGACAGCGGCAAACGGGGUAGUAAUACGUAGGUUACGUACCCCCGGGUCCGGGAUAGCCAUGGGAAACUGUGAGUAAUACCGGAUGAUCUCUGCGGAGCAAAGGUGUGAUUCCGCCCGGGGAGCGGCUUACGCGGUACUAGGUAGUUGGUGAGGUAACGGCUCACCAAGCCUUCGAUGCCUAGGGGGUGUGAGAGCAUGGCCCCCACACUGGGACUGAGACACUGCCCAGACACCUACGGGUGGCUGCAGUCGAGAAUCCUCGGCAAUGGACGCAAGUCUGACCGAGCGACGUCGCGUGCGGGAUGAAGGCCUUCGGGUUGUAAACCGCUGUCAGAGGGGA